UACGUAGGGUGCAAGCGUUAAUCGGAAUUACUGGGCGUAAAGCGUGCGCAGGCGGUCUGUUAAGACCGAUGUGAAAUCCCCGGGCUUAACCUGGGAACUGCAUUGGUGACUGGCAGGCUUUGAGUGUGGCAGAGGGAGGUAGAAUUCCACGUGUAGCAGUGAAAUGCGUAGAGAUGUGGAGGAAUACCGAUGGCGAAGGCAGCCUCCUGGGCCAAUACUGACGCUCAUGCACGAAAGCGUGGGGAGCAAACAGGA
rnacentral:rRNA from 1 species